rnacentral:misc_RNA from 1 species
AAGACCAUCAAGCCCGGCUUGGUCUUGGGCGCGGUCCUAGGACCCGCCCGCAACCCGUCGGCGGUGCCGGUUCGGCCCUGAGCGUAGCAGAAAUACUCGCUCUGGGGCCGCGGCGGCGCCCGCCAGCAGUUUUUACCUACG